GUGCCAGCCGCCGCGGUAAUACGGGGGGGGCAAGCGUUGUUCGGAAUUACUGGGCGUAAAGGGCGCGUAGGCGGUGCUCUAAGUUAGAUGUGAAAACUCUGGGCUCAACCCAGAGCCUGCAUCUAAAACUGGAGUGCUAGAGUUCUGGAGGGGGUAGCGGAAUUCCUGGUGUAGCGGUGAAAUGCGUAGAUAUCAGGAGGAACACCGGUGGCGAAGGCGGCUACCUGGACAGAAACUGACGCUGAGGCGCGAAAGCUAGGGGAGCAAACAGGAUUAGAAACCCUAGUAGUCC
rnacentral:rRNA from 1 species